ensembl:lincRNA
NACGCCACGUUCUUCGCCGGCCGCCUCAGCCCCGGAGAGGAGCAGCGAUGCCAGCAGGGCGAGGAGCCCCCCGCACCGCCUCGGCUCAGAAAGCUGCGCCAUGACGGACUCCGCCCGGCAGCCCAGGGGAGAGGCCUCGAGCCUCUGGUCGUUGGGGUCUCGCGAGCAGGUGCGGGAAGACCCUCUCCACGCACGCGCACGCGCACUGGAGCGCCUUGUGUUCGGGUGCGGAUACUUUGCUUCCUGUGCCCACGAUGAUUUUCUCUGCUCCUCAGUCGCCCCAGACUCCCUCUACCCUUCAGAACCCCACCACACCCCCAGACCCCCCCCCCACCCCCCCCCCCCCCCCCCGGCCCCUGGGUGGGCGCCAGGGGAAAUGGCGGCCGCCUCGAAGCAGCUGUUGAAGGUGGAAGGCCGGGUAGGGGGCGGGGCGCACCUGGUAAGGCGGGACGCGUAGAGCGCAGGCGCAGAGAGCCUGCACCUGAGCGGCCGUACUCCUCCCUAGGCGCACCUGGGCCCGCCCCUGGGGCUUAUGUGGGCGCCGCCCCGCGUGAGGCCUAGCCCGGGGCCGUAGGAGCAGGGUGAGCCCUAGGGCUCUUGCUGCCCGUGGGCGUCGGCUUGUUGGGCUUGUUGACCUUGUCCGAGCACCUUCGCUCUUGAACUUGGCCUCUGGGAAAUGAGGGUGCAGGCGCGCUCUCACUGGACACCUGUGGGCUUUUUGCCCAGCUUGCUUCAGCCUUCCCAUGACGGCAAGGGAUUUCUUCUUUCUAAAUUCCAACGUUCACUAAGUGCCUCCCCAGCGUUGACCAGUUCCCGCAUCACCAGACAGGAACAGUGCAGCAGAGUGAUGACAGAAGCACGUGACAAAGUGAUUAUGGAUGAGACGGGGCAAACACAGGCUGAAUGAUCAGGCGCUGCGUGGAGGAAGACCUGGGAGCCCAGACAGGUUCCCCGCUCAGUCUGAGAGAGGGCCAGAGAGGGCUCUCAGAGGCGAUUAUAGACCCAUGAGUGAACAAGAGCCCCAGAGUCUGCCUUCGCGUUUCCAGUACUGAGAUGAAGACAGAUAAUUAACCAGGGACAGAUAGGUGUCAGGAGAGUGUUGGGGAAGCACAGGCAGAGUAAUCAGACCUGAAAGGAGGGAAACCCAAAGGAGGCACCUGACCAGCUUAGGGGCCAUGGGGGCACUUCCUGAAAGAGGCAUAUGUGAGCUGGAUCUCGAAAGGAGGAUGGAAUAGGGCAAGCAUAGGAGUAGGGGACAGCUGAUGAAUAAUUAAAAUAAAUGUAUUAUUAAAAGCCCAUAACAGUGCUAUGAAGGAAAUAAACUGGGGGCUAGGAUGGAGAAUAACAGUGGAGGAGGUGAUUUAGAUAUGAACCCUGGAGGAUAAGAAGAGCUGAUGGACAAACAUUCUAAGCAAACAGCAAAUGCAAAAGUCCUGAAGCAAAAAAGGUGUCAGUGUGUUACAGAAGCCAGGGCCACACCCACUACUUGGCUUCCCUCCUGGCAUAAUAGUAUCUGAAGAGUCUUAACUGGGUUAACUAAGUGGUGUUUACCUUAAACAAUUAAAGUUUUAUACCCGCCAUCUUCUUUAAUCUUGCAGUGAGGCCCUGGGACUCAAGGCCAAGAGUCUGCCCAAGAUCUCUUAAGCACUUGAACCCAGUAUCCCCACCACAUUCCACUAAACCCAGGUUUAUGCUGGGGGACUGAGAGGACUGUGGUGGGAGGUGAGGCUGGAAAGGAGACGCAGGCCUGUUCAUUCAUUCAUCCUUUCUUUGAGUCCCACUAUGAGCCAGGUGCUCUUGUAAACACUGGAGCAGAUACCACAGUGAGCAAAGCGAAAUGUCUGACCUGUAGGAACUCACUUUCUACUAUUGAGAACAGUGAUGUAACUAGCAUAUCUGACACUGAGACUGAGCCCCCUAUUCUGAGUUCCCCUGCCUCUUUAUCCAAAACUUUAUUCCCUUUCUUGUUCUGCUCCUGUGCCCUUCAGGAUUGAAGAGUAUCAAAGAAAAAGGGAAUUGAAACUGAGCAGGACCCUGUUUCUUGUUUGUAGAAGAAAGCUUUGGUUUCGUAGGCCUUCCUUGAGUUCCAAAGAGUCAACUCAAAAGUUACUAAUUAGGGAAGUAAGGGAAUGGAAACAAAGGAAACAGGCAAGAAACAGCAGUUCAGUGAUAAGACAGACUCCUAGUUCCUCCUCAAGGGAUAUACGUAACAAUCUGACGCAUAUCUAAGUUUUGCUUGCAGAAACUAAGACCCCCACCCAGGUGGAGGACAGUGACUAAAUGCUGACCACAGGCAUGUAGACCCCAGACUGGCUGGAACCAGAAGGUUGAUGAUUAAGGUUCCUGAAACAUCACCCAGUUACCUCACCACCAACCAAUCAAAAGAAAGUCUAUGAACUAAAACCCUCACCCCAAAUGUUACCUUUAAAACCCCCUCCCUGAAAGCCUUCAGCGAGAUCCGUCUUUUGAGCUGCCCCUUCUCCCUGCAUGCAUGCAUGCUCAGUCACGUCCGAUUCUUUUCCACCCCAUGGACUGUAGCCCUCCAGCCUCCUCUGUCUGUGGGAUUUUCCAGGCAGGAAUACUAGAGUGGGUUGCCAUUUCCUUCUCCAGGGGAUCUUCCUGACCCAGGGAUUGAACCUGUGUCUCCUGCAUUGACAGGCAGAUUCCUUAAUACUGAGCCACCUGGGAAGCCUCUCCUUGCUUGCUGUCCUGCAAAUAAAUGCUGCACUUUUUUUUUUUUUUUUUUGCACUUUUCUUUACCACAACCCAGUGUCAGGAAAUUAGCUUUGCUGUGAAAGUGAAAGUGAAGUCACUCAGUCAUGUCCGACUCUUUGCGACCCCGUGGACUGUAGCCUACCAGGAUUCUCCGUCCAUGGGAUUUUCCGGGCAAGAAUACUGGAGUGGGUUGCCGUUUCCUUCUCCAGGGGCUCUUCCCAACCCAGGGAUUGAACCUGGGUCUCCUGCAUUGGAGGCAGACGCUUUAACCUCUGAGCCACCAGGGAAGCUUUGCUGUAUGGCAGGCCAAUGAACCUACAUUCAGUUCUGUAACAGCCUGUGGGGUGAAUAAUUUUUUAUACCUCCUCCACUCUACCAAAUUAUUUUCAGUAAUAAUCAUGUACGUAUCAUUAUUUUAUUUGUUCUUUAAUUUUUUAAUUAAUAAUCAAAAUUUAAUAAAUUUCCCUUUUAAAGAUAUUACUCAAAUUCAGUAAAAUAUUUCAUGUAUGAAUGAAAGUUUGUACUUAUCAAAUAAAAAUAUUAUGUCUUACAGUUCAUACCCUGAUUCACUCUUUUGAAUUUUUAAACACAAAAACUCCAAAAGAACAUGUAGAAUGACAAUAGUUUCUCCGUCUUUACAAUCAUUGUGCUAUCCUUUAAAUUUCUAAUGUAUUUAAAUGCAAGACUAUAUAGAAUCACAGAAAUUGGAGACUCAAACUGUGCCUGAUACAAGGCCAAAUGAUUCCAAAUUGUUAUGAACUUAUUUUCAAAAUGAGCACAUAGCUCAGUCUAUAUAUGUCAGAAGUCAACAGUAUACAUGAGAGUUCUCCAUAUUAACUUUCCUUUAGACUGUUGUGGCAAACAGCCCCCUAUAAUCCCCUCUGCUUAGGUGUGAGCAGGACCUGGGACUUGCUUCUAACCAACAGAAUAUGGCAAAGGAGGUUUACGUUACAUUAUGUAAGACUGUCCCCAUGGACUGAGAGACUGUCCAUGGCUGGCUCUGAAAGAAAGAAGUCGCCACAUUGUGAGGAUUGAUGGAGAAGACCGCAUGGUAAGGGAUUAUAGGUGGCCUCUGGGAGUCGAGGGCCAUUCCCACUGAUAGCCAGCUAGAAAAUGAAGACCGCA